GGUGGCUCAGUCGUAGAGCGCUUGUCUUGCAUGCAUGAGGCCCUGGGUUCGAUUCCUCAGCACCA
rfam:Dipodomys ordii contig_16405, whole genome shotgun sequence.